UACAGAGGGUGCAAGCGUUAAUCGGAAUUACUGGGCGUAAAGCGAGCGUAGUCGGUUAUUUAAGUCGGAUGUGAAAUCCCCGGGCUCAACCUGGGAAUUGCAUUCGAUACUGGAUAGCUAGAGUUCGGCAGAGGGAAGCGGAAUUUCCGGUGUAGCGGUGAAAUGCGUAGAUAUCGGAAGGAACAUCAGUGGCGAAAGCGGCUUCCUGGACCAGUACCGACGUUCAGGCACGAAAGCGUGGGGAGCAAACAGG
rnacentral:rRNA from 1 species